GCCCUACCGGGUGCAGCAGGCGCCAAACCUCCCCAAUGUGAUAAAUCGCCACGGGGGGAUCCCUACUGCCAUUCUAAACGGGAUGGCUUUUCAUUAAUGUAAAGAGCUCUUGGAAUAACAGCUGGGCCACACCGGUGCCCGCCGCCCCGGUAACACCGGCUGCUCUAGUGGAAGCACCUUUUUAUUGGGCCUAGUUCGUCCCUAUCCGGUUUAAUACUUCUCUGGUGAAAUCCUGCAGCUUAACUGUGGGAAUUGCUGGAGAUACUAUUAGACUUGAAAUCUCGACACGUUACAGGUACUCCCACGGUACACGUGAAAUUCUGUAUUCCUGGGAGGACCGCCUGUUGCGAAGGCGUCUGACUGGGACGAUUCUGAAGGUGAAGGACGACAGCUACGGGCGCUAACCGCACUAUAUACACUGCUACUCCUAGCUGUGCACGAGGCACACUUGCUGCUGGGGUGGCUUUUACCUGUC
rnacentral:rRNA from 1 species